rnacentral:rRNA from 2 species
UAGGGAAUCUUCCACAAUGGACGGAAGUCUGAUGGAGCAACGCCGCGUGAGCGAAGAAGGUCUUCGGAUCGUAAAGCUCUGUUGUAAGGGAAGAAUAAGUACAGUAGUAACUGGCUGUACCUUGACGGUACCUUACGAGAAAGCCACGGCUAACUACGUG